GCCAUGUCUAGCCUGAACUCUCGCUCUGUUUUGUGAGCCAUUCUCGAGAUCAUAGAUUGGGAGACUCCUCUCGAUAGUGUGGAAAGGGCGCCUACGGAACCGUGUCAUUUGCCCUAUAGAUGUUUGUCAGUGUAGAAUAAAAAGAGCGCGUUAUCAAAUGAGGUACCAGGGCUUACUUGAGUUGUGAUCGUGUGCGGUUCUCCUAGCCUUCCUUGUUCAUAACAAGGACAUCGAAAGACGGCUUCAUGCAGCAAGGCUCAAUGUUCUUCGUAUCUGUGCUCACCGUAUGUCUUCUUGCGACCGAUGUCACGUCACGCCGCCCAGAUCGUUGUGCCACGGUACGCUGCGCUGGCUGUCCAUCUGGAUCUACGUUCAGCCCCACACCGCGUGAAUGCUGCCGAUGCGUUCCUAAAGUGGACUGCAGGGUUGUGUUCUGCCGCGCAUGUCCCUCAGGAACCACGCUUCGCCAGACGCCCUUAAACUGCUGCGAAUGCGUGAGGAGGCAGAUAUGAAUUUAAAGUCUGCCACCUUUGCCUCCAACAAGCAGAUGAGGAAACGUUUGCACAGGUCUGAAGCAAGAACACCCCAUUUGCGACGCUUUACAACAAUCGGCGAAUAAAAUUUGCGAUAUGUGCUCUGAGCUGUUCAUGUUUUGAUAAUAAAACCUAUGUUUAAGACAUG